GGAUAUGCGGGUGAUCUGGUUGCAACAUCUGUCGCCCCAUUGAUCACCAGGGUUGAUUCGGCUGAUCUGGCUGGCUAGGCGGGUGUCCCCAUCCUCCCUCACCACUCCAAGUGCAACCCUCCCAAAGCUGCGUGCUCAGUGGAAGAAGACAACCAUCAGUGGAAGAGGAGGACCAUUCCUAGGUCAAGGAUAUAUGAGUAGCUAAAACCUCCAAACAAGCUCUCUAGUCCAAAUCCUCACUAGACAGUUAGCUCCUUGAGGGCAAGGACCAUGUC
rnacentral:snRNA from 1 species